rnacentral:rRNA from 1 species
GACAGAGGGGGCAAGCGUUGCUCGGAAUUACUGGGCGUAAAGGGCGCGUAGGCGGGAUGGCAAGUCGGUCGUGAAAGCCUUCGGCUCAACCGAAGAACGUCGGCCGAUACUGCCGUUCUUGAGGGAUGCAGAGGAGACUGGAAUUCCCGGUGUAGCGGUGAAAUGUGUAGAGAUCGGGAGGAACACCGGUGGCGAAGGCGGGUCUCUGGGCAUCUCCUGACGCUGAGGCGCGAAAGCGUGGGGAGCAAACAGG